GUCCCUGUAAUGCAAUGGAUAGCAUUUUGGACUUCUAAUCCAGAGGUCAUAAGUUAGAAUCUUACCUGGGAUG